CGGACGGGUGAGUAACGCGUGAGAAUCUGGCUUCAGGUCUGGGACAACCACUGGAAACGGUGGCUAAUACCGGAUGUGCCCUUCGGGGUGAAAGGUUAACUGCCUGAAGAUGAGCUCGCGUCUGAUUAGCUAGUUGGAAGUGUAAUGGACUCCCAAGGCGACGAUCAGUAGCUGGUCUGAGAGGACGAUCAGCCACACUGGGACUGAGACACGGCCCAGACUCCUACGGGAGGCAGCAGUGGGGAAUUUUCCGCAAUGGGCGAAAGCCUGACGGAGCAAUACCGCGUGAGGGAGGAAGGCUCUUGGGUCGUAAACCUCUUUUCUCAGGGAAGAACACAAUGACGGUACCUGAGGAAUAAGCAUCGGCUAACUCCGUGCCAGCAGCCGCGGUAAUACGGAGGAUGCAAGCGUUAUCCGGAAUGAUUGGGCGUAAAGCGUCCGCAGGUGGCAAUGUAAGUCUGCUGUUAAAGAAUGAGGCUCAACCUCAUAAGAGCAGUGGAAACUACAUAGCUAGAGUACGUUCGGGGCAGAGGGAAUUCCUGGUGUAGCGGUGAAAUGCGUAGAGAUCAGGAAGAACACCAGUGGCGAAGGCGCUCUGCUAGGCCGUAACUGACACUGAGGGACGAAAGCUAGGGGAGCGAAUGGGAUUAGAUACCCCAGUAGUC
rnacentral:rRNA from 1 species